rnacentral:lncRNA from 1 species
CAAGUAUUAAUCACCCGCUCCACAUUUUCUGUCACUGAUUCCUGCUUCAUUUUUUCUAUCUCUUAGUUCUUGUUACCUCCCAGCACACCAUGUAUUCUGUUUAUUUUAUGGUCACUGCUUGUCCUCAGUCCCUAAAUCACUGCCUGUUUAUGUAAGAUCUUAUGUACAGUUGGCAAAUAAAUGAUUCAUUUUACUUGCUAUAGAGUUAACAGUGGUUUCCACUGUUAACAAAAAAAGUUGCUAGGUAAAUCAGAACUGACUGAACAAACAUUUUUGAUAGGACCAUCACAGAGCUGCAGGAGCAGCUGGCCUAUGAGCGACUCCGCAGGGAGAAGUUAGAGUGUCAACUGGAUGAGUACCGAGUGGAAGUGAAUCAACUCAAGGAAGCGCUGGAGAAAAUCCAGGUCCCCAGUGCUGAGGCUAUGGAAGAUGACUCCUGUGAAUAUAGCAAAGAGAAGAGGCGAAUGAAAAAAAAAAACUCUCCUGGGGGCAUGUUUGUGAGAAGGUUCUAAUCAGUGCAGUAAGGUUAAAUAAAGCCUUGAUUUUCCUUCACUUUAGAGGUAUGUGAAUAGAUAGAAAUCCUUCAGUUCUGAAGGUGAAAAUGUUAUACAUCAAACAGACUUAAAAAUUCCAUGGACUUAGGAUAUUUUUUAUAUGCAUAUAUAUGCAAGCCAACAUCUAUGAGAAAUAAUUUUGCAAGUAUUCAUAUAAACUGUGAACUAUGAGAUGGUAUAAUCUAAUAGUCAAAGGAAAUCCAAUUCUAGAUAAUAAAAUUAUUAAAAUGAU